UAGCCAGGCCGACUAAAGAUGGCUUCCAAUUCGUUCCGUAUUCGAAACCAGCGAGUUAUUUAGAAAAAUACAAGUGCUGUAUCAGACUCUGUGGAAGACCUCAUCAACAGCUGAACUUGGAAAUUUUGAAAGAUCGUUCAAAGGCGAAACAUCUAUACGUCUGUACAAAACACUUUGUCGACGGGAAAUCCAAUCAAGAAAACCCUGACCCUCAAGCAGCUACUGUAUUUGACCAGCUCACACCAGCUAGGCCUCCUCCAAAACUCAGAUAAAUAUUUGAGCCACCAAAAAAAACGAGAACAGAUCGGUCUGAAUCGUUAAGAACUGAAGCUAACAUCAUAGAGGUACAUCCUUCCAAGAAUCCAUCAAAACAACAUGCUGAACAACUUCAAGAACUCUCUUCAAAAGACCACACUUUCCUGAAAUAAAUAAAAGAUG